rnacentral:piRNA from 1 species
UGGCAAGCACUGUUCUAGGCCCUGGGUA